UGGGGAAUAUUGCACAAUGGGCGAAAGCCUGAUGCAGCGACGCCGCGUGAGGGAUGGAGGCCUUCGGGUUGUAAACCUCUUUCAGUAAGGGUGAAGGCUCUCUUUUGUGGAGGGUUGACAGUACUUGCAGAAGAAGCGCCGGCUAACUACGUGCCAGCAGCCGCGGUAAUACGUAGGGCGCGAGCGUUGUCCGGAAUUAUUGGGCGUAAAGGGCUUGUAGGUGGCGUGUCGCGUCUGCUGUGAAAUUCCAGGGCUUAACUUUGGGAUUGCAGUGGGUACGGGCAUGCUAGAGUGCAGUAGGAGAGAUUGGAAUUCCUGGUGUAGCGGUGAAAUGCGCAGAUAUCAGGAGGAACACCGGUGGCGAAGGCGGGUCUCUGGGCUGUUACUGACGCUGAGGAGCGAAAGCGUGGGGAGCGAACAGG
rnacentral:rRNA from 1 species